GAUGAACGCUAGCGGCAGGCCUAAUACAUGCAAGUCGAGGGGUAUCCCGCUUUCGGGCGGGAGAGACCGGCGCACGGGUGCGUAACGCGUAUGCAACCUACCCAUAUCUGGGGGAUAGCCCGGAGAAAUCCGGAUUAACACCGCAUAAAAUCACAGUACGGCAUCGUACAAUUAUCAAAUAUUGAUAGGAUAUGGAUGGGCAUGCGUGUCAUUAGCUGGUUGGCGGGGUAACGGCCCACCAAGGCGACGAUGACUAGGGGAUCUGAGAGGAUGGCCCCCCACACUGGAACGGAGACACGGACCAGACUCCAACGGGAUGCAGCAGUAAGGAAUAUUGGUCAAUGGGCGGAAGCCUGAACCAGCCAUGCCGGGUGCAGGAAGACGGCCCUCUGGGUUGUAAACUGCUUUUAUUCGGGAAUAAACCUGCAUACGUGUAUGCAGCUGAACGUACCGAAGGAAUAAGGAUCGGCUAACUCCGUGCCAGCAGCCGCCGUAA
rnacentral:rRNA from 1 species